AUGCAGAGUUUAGCUCCAACACACCUGCUAGGAAAUUUUAGCACUCCUUGAUUAGCUGGGUCAGGUGUGUUUAAUUAGGGUUGUUGCUAAGCUCUACAGGUCUGGAGUUAGGUUUGUCCAAAAUCACCCACAGUGAGUGUGGAAGAACCAAACUGUGUUUGGACAACCCUUAAGGAUGUGAGCCUUCAGGCAGCUCUCAGUGUUUCUUCACCUCAGUACAGAUUAUCUUAAGUAGGUCUACCUUCAAUCUGAUGGUUGAGCUCUGUGGCAACUCCAUCGGUUACAUCGCUUUAGCAGAUGGAGUGACAUCUAGUGUGGCUCAGCUGCGAAGACAUGAGGAACAAGGAACGAGAAAGCUUCCAGAGAAAGAAGAUAUGCAAUUGUAUACUAUGUGGAAGUGUUGUCACUAUGUCACUGUCACUAUGUUUUACCAUUGCAAUUUAAAUAAAACAAAUAAUUCACAAAU